CCUACGGGAGGCAGCAGUGGGGAAUAUUGCACAAUGGGGGAAACCCCGAUGCAGCGACGCCGCGUGAGUGAAGAAAUAUCUCGGUACGUAAAGCUCUAUCAGCAGGGAAGAAAAUGACGGUACCUGACUAAGAAGCCCCGGCUAACUACGUGCCAGCAGCCGCGGUAAUACGAAGGGGGCAAGCGUUAUCCGGAUUUACUGGGUGUAAAGGGAGCGGAGACGGCAGCACAAGUCUGGAGUGAAAUGCCGGGGCUUAACCCCGGCACUGCAUUGGAUACUGUGCGGCUAGAGUGCAGGAGGGGGAAGCGGAAUUCCUGGUGGAGCGGUGAAAUGCGUAGAUAUUAGGAGGAACACCGGUGGCGAAGGCGGCUUACUGGACUGUAACUGACGUUGAGGCUCGAAGGCGUGGGGAGCAAAAGGGAUUAGAUACCCGUGUAGUC
rnacentral:rRNA from 1 species